rnacentral:rRNA from 1 species
GAUGAACGCUGGCGGCGUGCCUAAUACAUGCAAGUCGAGCGAACGGACGAGAAGCUUGCUUCUCUGAUGUUAGCGGCGGACGGGUGAGUAACACGUGGAUAACCUACCUAUAAGACUGAGAUAACUUCGGGAAACCGGAGCUAAUACCGGAUAAUAUUUUGAACCGCAUGGUUCAAAAGUGAAAGACGGUCUUGCCGUCACUUAUAGAUGGAUCCGCGCUGCAUUAGCUAGUUGGUAAGGUAACGGCUUACCAAGGCAACGAUGCAUAGCCGACCUGAGAGGGUGAUCGGCCACACUGGAACUGAGACACGGUCCAGACUCCUACGGGAGGCAGCAGUAGGGAAUCUUCCGCAAUGGGCGAAAGCCUGACGGAGCAACGCCGCGUGAGUGAUGAAGGUCUUCGGAUCGUAAAACUCUGUUAUUAGGGAAGAACAUAUGUGUAAGUAACUGUGCACAUCUUGACGGUACCUAAUCAGAAAGCCACGGCUAACUACGUG